rnacentral:rRNA from 1 species
GACGUAGGAUGCAAGCGUUGUCCGGAUUUAUUGGGCGUAAAGAGCGUGUAGGCGGUUUGGUAGGUCCGCUGUGAAAACUCGAGGCUCAGCCUCGAGACGCCGGUGGAAACCAUCAGACUAGAGUCCGGAAGAGGAGAGUGGAAUUCCUGGUGUAGCGGUGAAAUGCGCAGAUAUCAGGAAGAACACCCGUGGCUAAGGCGGCUCUCUAGUACGGUACUGACGCUGAGACGCGAAAGCGUGGGGAGCGAACAGG